rnacentral:rRNA from 1 species
GACAUAGGUGGCGAACGUUAUCCGGAAUUACUGGGCGUAAAGAGUGCGUAGGUGGUUUAAUAAGUUACUGGUGGGAAAUCGGGGGCUCAACCCCGUGGAAGUCAGUAAUACUAUUAAACUAGAGGGUCGGAGAGGUUAACGGAAUUCUAUGUGUAGCGGUAAAAUGCUUAAAUAUAUAGAGGAACACCAAACGGCGAAGGCGUUAACUAUUCGAUUCCUGAC